AUUGAACGCUGGCGGCAGGCCUAACACAUGCAAGUCGAACGAGUGGCGGACGGGUGAGUAAUGUCUGGGAAACUGCCCGAUGUAGGGGGAUAACUACUUGAAACGGUAGCUAAUACCGCAUACCCUCGGAUGUGCCCAGCUGUGAUUAGCUUUUAGGUGAGGUAACGGCUCACCUAGUCGACGAUCCCUAGCUGGUCUGAGAGGAUGACCAGGCACACUGGAACUGAGACAAGUUCCAUAAUCCUACGGGAGGCAGCAGUGGGGAAUAUUGCACAAGGGGCGGUAGCCUGAUGCAGCAAUGCCGCGGGGAUGAAGAAGGCCUUCGGGUUGUAAAGUACUUGCAGCGGGGAGGCGGUACCCGCAGAAGAAGCACCGGCUAACUCCGUGCCAGCAGCCGCGGUAAUGC
rnacentral:rRNA from 1 species